CCUACGGGAGGCUGCAGUGGGGAAUAUUGCUCAAUGGGGGAAACCCUGAUGCAGCGACGCCGCGUGAGUGAAGAAGUAUCUCGGUAUGGUAAGCUCCUUUUGCAGGGGAGAAAAUGACGGUACGUGAUUAAGAAGCACCGGCCAACUACGUGCCAGCACCCGUGGCAAUACGUAGGGAGCCACGGUUAUCCGGAUUUACUGGGUGUUAAGGGGGCGUAUUCGGCAGCACAAGUCUGGAGUGAAAUGCCGGGGCUUAACCCCGGAACUGCUUUGGAAACUGUGCAGCUAGAGUUCAGGAGAGGUAAGUGGAAUUCCUAGUGUAGCGGUGAAAUGCGUAGAUAUUAGGAGGAACACCAGUGGCGAAGGCGGCUUACUGGACUGUAACUGACGUUGAGGCUCGAAAGCGUGGGGAGCAAACAGGAUUAGAGACCCGGGUAGUC
rnacentral:rRNA from 1 species